UGUUGCUAAUCUUACACCUUGGUCAGAUCACAAUCAAAGCCCUCGUAAUAUGUACCAGUGUCAGAUGGGAAAACAAACCAUGGGAUUCCCUUCUCAAGCAUUACACAGUCGUGCUGAUCAAAAGCUUUAUCAUCUUCAGGAUGGCAAUGACUUGGUCUCCCGAAGAUCUACUCAAGAAGUGGUCACUUCUAGGUGUGCAUCUUCAUGAAGCAGUUUUUUCACCCAUUAAAGGUGAUAUUGUUCCAUGUAUUGCCUUGUUCAUCUGUGUGUUUGGAGUCAAUCACUUUUUGGAAUAUGUAAUAGGUUGAUUGUCUUUCUGCCCCUUGCUUAUUAGGUUUUUCCUUGCAAGAUUAGGCAAUAAUUUGAUUCAGGAUUGCCUUUACUGUUAUGAUCAAUUAAGAAUGGGAAAUUUUCAUAUUUAGUUUUCAGUAGGUCUUUGAUUAUCAUUGGCAUUGAUUGUUGUACACUUGCAUUUAGGUUCAGGCACACUGUUUACAUUCUAAUUUUUUUAAAACAAUAAGAAUCUCCUAUGUGUUGUAUUUCAUAGUUAACCUGACCUUACUUUUGAUGUGGUAAGAAGUCUUGUGAUAAAUUAACCUGUUUGCGAACAACUAUGGAGGUAUCCUAAACACAAACAUUUAACCAACUCAAUGAAACUGCGAGAUGGAUCAAUUUACACUUGCAUAUCUAGAUUGCUGAUGUGCCAGCAGUAGCAAUAAGUAAUAUACGUAAAAUGGAGGUAUAGUGCUAUUUGCUUUUUAAACAAUUUUCUUAAUGGAAACAUCUAAAACAAUCAAAGAAGGUUCAUUCUUUGAUAAUUUAGCAUGUUACUGUGACUUUGGACAAAUAUUUAUUUGCAAAUUACUUUGGAAGUGCUGAUACAAGUGAGAGAGACAUUUAUACUUGAUAUCUGGUGAGAUGCGAGUAUCAUGCAAGAUUCUGGGAGACAAGGUGGACAAUUUGUCAUGUAGAGUAGCAAGUUUCGUACUCUUAACAGAUUGCUGAUCUCCCUUCUGAUGACUUGUAUAGUUCUCAUUUUUGGGGGGUAUUUUGAUUUCACUUUCCAGUCUUUGAAUAUAUUUUGAAUGUGGCUGAUUAACCCUUCUUUUGACUCUGCUUGAUAUUGUGCCUUACA